rnacentral:rRNA from 1 species
GAUGAACGCUGGCGGCGUGCCUAAUACAUGCAAGUCGAGCGAACAGACGAGGAGCUUGCUCCUCUGACGUUAGCGGCGGACGGGUGAGUAACACGUGGAUAACCUACCUAUAAGACUGGGAUAACUUCGGGAAACCGGAGCUAAUACCGGAUAAUAUAUUGAACCGCAUGGUUCAAUAGUGAAAGACGGUUUUGCUGUCACUUAUAGAUGGAUCCGCGCCGCAUUAGCUAGUUGGUAAGGUAACGGCUUACCAAGGCGACGAUGCGUAGCCGACCUGAGAGGGUGAUCGGCCACACUGGAACUGAGACACGGUCCAGACUCCUACGGGAGGCAGCAGUAGGGAAUCUUCCGCAAUGGGCGGAAGCCUGACGGAGCAACGCCGCGUGAGUGAUGAAGGUCUUCGGAUCGUAAAACUCUGUUAUUAGUGAAGAACAAAUGUGUAAGUAACUAUGCACGUCUUGACGGUACCUAAUCAGAAAGCCACGGCUAACUACGUG